UGUCCUCUCCUCUCCUUUGACUCGGCUUGUAUCUCGCUUACCUGUCCUCCGGCUCCCUCGACCUCGGCUUACCUUUUGACUAUUCUGCUUUGUCCCUACGUUAGUCCGGCCAUUCUAAGGUCCGGUAUACGUACCUCCUUCUGUCCGCACUCUGCGUAUUGGAUCCCUGUCAGUAUCCUGACACUGGGUUAAACUGGGAAU